rnacentral:tRNA from 1 species
CAAAUUAAAGCUUUUUGAAGCAUUUUAGUUACAUUAAAAAGAUUAUUAUUAGUUUAGUAUAGUUUGA